rnacentral:rRNA from 1 species
AUUGAACGCUGGCGGCAGGCCUAACACAUGCAAGUCGAACGGUAACAGGAAGAAGCUUGCUUCUUUGCUGACGAGUGGCGGACGGGUGAGUAAUGUCUGGGAAACUGCCUGAUGGAGGGGGAUAACUACUGGAAACGGUAGCUAAUACCGCAUAACGUCGCAAGACCAAAGAGGGGGACCUUCGGGCCUCUUGCCGUCGGAUGUGCCCAGAUGGGAUUAGCUAGUAGGUGGGGUAACGGCUCACCUAGGCGACGAUCCCUAGCUGGUCUGAGAGGAUGACCAGCCACACUGGAACUGAGACACGGUCCAGACUCCUACGGGAGGCAGCAGUGGGGAAUAUUGCACAAUGGGCGCAAGCCUGAUGCAGCCAUGCCGCGUGUAUGAAGAAGGCCUUCGGGUUGUAAAGUACUUUCAGCGGGGAGGAAGGGAGUAAAGUUAAUACCUUUGCUCAUUGACGUUACCCGCAGAAGAAGCACCGGCUAACUCCGCG